GUCCAUGGGAUGGUGUUUAAACAAAUUUAUUUUAAAUUUCAGAGGACAGAUUACAUUAGUUGACAUCAGCAUUACACUCACCUGGUCAUUCUGUCUCUUUAAAACAGUACUGUGAAGUUGAUUGGAAAUUUCAUCUUCUCCCUAUUUGAGACUCAUUUGAUAUUAUUUGCUGCUUCACCACUCAGUGUUAGUGUCCCUGAGGCCUGCCUUGCACUACUUUCUCUAUCUAAAAUAUUCACAUGCCUGUAACUGAAUUCAAGGAAAACAAAGCCUGGGGCUAGAAGGAAGUGUAGGAAUCCAAGGAGAAAUAUCCGUGGUAGAUUUCAAUUAAGAAGCUCUGGCAUUAAGCAAAAUAGGUGAAGAAGCUUUACACGUCGUUUCCCUUUUGAGUCGCUCAGCCAAAUUCAUCAGUGUAAAGGAAGAGUUAAAGAAGUACUCAAACCCAAGAGCCCUUUAAAGAAACAACAUAGGAGUCAGUGAGUGAGUGGGGGAAGCAGCCAAGAUGGACAAACAAGAACAGCUCUGGUCUACAGCUCCCAGCAUGAGCGACGCAGAAGACAGGUGAUUCCUGCAUUUCCAUCUGAGGAAGGACCUCAGGAAACCUGCCCAGCAAUCAUAAAUGCUGCUUUCAUCCUGCAAGUGAUCUUACUUUGCAUGCCACUGAGCCACAGGUUCAUGAGCAAGAGAGUAGAAGGGCUCAGGACUUUCAGUUUAUACAGACUUCGUCCUGUGUGGCUGUGGACUACAAAUAUGCCCCUCUAGCAGCUUUCACCUAACUGGGCUCAGGGCAGAGCCUUUUCUCAUAGUCCAGAACUGACUACUCUGGCUUGUCUGCCUCUGUUGCUGGGAUGCUGUUACUCUGUGUAGGAAGCAGGAAUUGAGCACUAUCCUUCAUGCAAGAACUAGCUGCACAAACUCACUUUCAACUGGGAUAGAACUGCCACAGGAAGGGCUGGAAUGGCUUUCUCCAAGUGCAUACAUCCACCCCCAGUGAGAAGAGUCUCUGCUGUGUUUGCAACAGUGAACAAGGAAAGCAUGGAGAUGACCCCGUCUCCUUGCCCUUGACAUUCCUACAUUGAUUGUCAAGGUGUUGAAAUUUCCACCAUGUAGUUUUUUCUCCACACUCACAGAGAGGCUCACGGUAAACCUCCUAAAGCAUCUUAUUAAAAGAGAAACGCUACAGCCAUAGUCACAGAUGAGCUCUGGUGACUAAAAUCCCACCUACCACUACUUGACUGUUGCGGUCCCUGAAGCCUACAAAAUCGCAGAAUGAUUGCUGGUUCUCAAACCUCUAGGUUACUUUAUGAUUGGGAAUUUUACAUAUAUCCAUUGCCUGAAAUGCCCUUAGCAUCUAUUACCCUUUGAGACUUAGCUUCAAUAUCAAGUAAUGAAGCCUUUCUUAAGUACCUAGAGAAAAUCAGUUUUCCGGUCUUUCAUGCUACCUUUGUACACACAGCUUUCUGUUGUUACCUUUUCAAAUCAAUCAUUUCACCAUUAUUUCUCUAUGCAUUCAUUCAUUAUUUCAACAAAUAUUUAUCGGGUGUUUAAUAUGUUUAUAGCCAUGUGCUAAGCACUGAGGUUAUACUUUGUCGUGACUCCAUGGUUAAACUCCACAGGGACAAGAUCCACACAAAUAUUCUGUGUGAAGGACACAUAAAUAGUUUGGGGGUACAUCAUGCCUAUGACUGAUAUGAAGAAGGUGUAAACAAAUGUAUAUUGAAUUAAAGAAUACCUUAAAUAUUUGUUUGUAAGAGAUAUAGUUUUAGGAUUUGUUACAAUAGUUAGAAAAGGGUUUCAUGAAUAUGGAAUGAAAGCUUAGACUGCAACUGUUUUACAAAGCGCUUUUAAAAGUAACUACUAAAAUAAUCUAGUAACACUUUUAGAGUCAUUUAGAAAAGAAUAAAAUAAUCUUAGCCUAGCUAACAGGAUGUUCCAAUAAAACUAUUGUGAAGUGGUAGGACUCUUGAUUAUGGUGAGAAUGGGUCAGAAUGGAUGAAUCAACACAUUUGUGUAAAGAAUAAUAUCUAGAAAUGAUGACAAUGUAUAUUUGAAAGAAAAGAGUAUUAAAAAUGUCUUUAAAUUUUCCAAUUUGUUGUACUCAUAGGAAAAUAGGAGGUGAAAAUGAAAUACUUAGAGAUGGUGUCUUAAUUUAUUUCAAGAAUUUGAGGUAAAAAGGAACUGCUCUGCCCUGUUAAUAUGUGAGAUGAGCAAUUUAGGAGGGAGGUCAGACUGGAAAAGUGAAUUUACUGAACACCAUGAUAGUCAUGUUGUUUAAUGACUUAAGAAUAGACAGUAAAAGAGGUUCUCCUAUCAUAGCCCUACAUCCUCUGGAAAUACAUGCUACAUUAAAAUUUAUAUUUCUAUUUCCAUAUGCUUGGUAUGACUAAUGGCAGAAACUGUGAAGAAUCCUAGGAGAAAAAUGGUCUGCAUUUGCUUCAGACUUAUUGCAAAGUGUAUGUAUGAAGGAAAACAUUACUUCUAAUUCUACCAGACCAUCACCUGCAUGAGUCCCUGUGAUGCUUCCCAAAUCCAUCCAAAUGCUUAACUGAAGCUUGAAUUUAUUAUUUUCAAGUUCGAUGUAAAAGUUCUUCUUUUUAAACUUGACACUGUAUACUGUGGCUUAAAUAUUUAAGCAAGGCUCUUUCGAAGAUUGAGGAAGAAACACUCACACAUCAAAAGUAUCUAAUGUUUAAUUCAGCGAGGUAAGCUUUCUCAAACUCUGAAGCUUAUGUGAAGCUGUUUGGAAUUUUUUCAAAGGUCUUUUAUCUCUAAAUCAAAACAGAAUUUUUUUUAAAAAAAUUAUAAUAAUUCUUCAAAACAGAAAUAACUUCUGUCAGAGUUCUUUGGUUUCUACCUAAAAGAAACAGUUACGUGGCAAUUGUUUAUUUAUUUCUACAUGAACCCAACAUGUUCAAAUUCUAAAAGAUUUAGACAAGCUUGCUUCAGUCAUACAUAAAGAUUUUGAAAACUUAUUAUUCAAGCCAACUAAGAUUCUUGCUAGAAAACUCAAACAAAGAACAAUAAUUGGUUUGAAAACUGCAGAAUAUACUUUGUAGAUUAUGACUCUUCAUUGAUAAACAGAUAAGUAAACACCCACAAAUCAAUAUGUAAACAAUAGAACUGGCUAUUAAGUUUUUGCUAAAAGAUCUUCCUUGAGAGAGUUUAUAGAAUUUGCUAAUUUUUUCUUUUUUGUCUUAUUUAAUGUUAGUUAUCAAAGCCAAGUCUUCCCAGACCCUUACUAAUUAAUCUCAACAAUUUGUUUUUGAAAUUUUGAAAACAUAGAAAUAUUAGGAGAAUCUCCACUGGAGUGAUUCAAGAGAGUUCUAAAACAUGGAGACUGACAAAAACAUUCAGAUAGAAAUCUGCAGUUAAUAGUAAUAAAAUGACGGCAGUCACUGUGAUGAUAUGAUAAUUGUGAUGAUUAGGCUGCUGGUUUGGAAUCCUGGAUAAAUCUCUUAAACUAGCUUUAUGGCUUUUAGCAAGUUAUGUAACCUUUGAAAUAUUCACCUGGUUUUUAAAACCACAUUCUGUGGAUGUAAGAUCUAAAUAAGAUAACCCAUAUAAAUAAUGUAGUAUGUCUCGCACAUACUAAGCGCAUGCUAAGACUUUCCCCAUGCUUUCUUUUUUUUGGCUUCUUUUAUUAUUAUUAUUAUUAUUAUACUUUAAAUUCUAGGGUACACUUGCACAACAUCCAUGUUUUAAGUCUCCACCCACUUGUCCUUGAAAAUUCUAAUCUCUUUUGUUUACCAAGGCCAGUGAUAAUGAAGUCUUAUGAUAAAACCUGUUCCUAUAACAUUCCUUCUAGUCAUUACACAUUUUAAUCUCUCGUUUAUUAAGUUAGGUGCCUGUAAUAAUAACAUUUUCUAGAAUAUUUUUUACUGCUUUUAGCAUGGCUAACUUUUUUCACCUUUCCUUCAGUAAAUGCUGCCUCAUUUUAAGGUUUAUUCUGAACACCCA
rnacentral:lncRNA from 10 species